UGUCUCCUCUCUCCAAUCAAUGAAACUGAUCUCUCCGUGAAGAAGCGGAGAUUUAACUAUAAGACGAGAAGACCCCAUGGAGCUUUAAACCUGACUACACCCUUAUCUAUUAUACCCCCUUAAUCAACAGGACCCUGUCUGUCAGUUUUAGGUUGGGGUGACCACGGAGCACAAAUAAACCUCCAUGAUGAACUGGACUAACCCAUUAUCUAAGAAAAACACCUCAAAGAAUUAGCACACUAACAUAAAAUGAUCCGACACUCGAUCAACGAACCAAGUUACCCUGGGGAUAACAGCGCAAUCUACUUCAAGAGCCCAUAUCGACAAGUGGGUUUACGACCUCGAUGUUGGAUCAGGGUAUCCUAGUGGUGCAGCAGCUACUAAAGGUUCGUUUGUUCAACGAUUAAAACCCU
rnacentral:rRNA from 1 species